rnacentral:rRNA from 1 species
CAGGCCUAACACAUGCAAGUCGAACGGUAACGGGAAGAAGCUUGCUUCUUUGCCGACGAGUGGCGGACGGGUGAGUAAUGCUUGGGAAUAUGCCUUGAAGUGGGGGACAACAGUUGGAAACGACUGCUAAUACAGCAUAAUGUCUACGGACCAAAGGGGGGGAUCUUUCGGGCUCCCGCGCAAAGAGUAGCCUAAGCGAGAUUAGCUAGUUGGUGAGGUAAAGGCUCACCAAGGCGACGAUCUCUAGCUGGUCUGAGAGGAUGAUCAGCCACACUGGGACUGAGACACGGCCCAGACUCCUACGGGAGGCAGCAGUGGGGAAUAUUGCACAAUGGGGGGAACCCUGAUGCAGCCAUGCCGCGUGUGUGAAGAAGGCCUUCGGGUUGUAAAGCACUUUCAGUUGUGAGGAAAGGAAGUUGGUUAAUACCCAGUUUCUGUGACGUUAGCAACAGAAGAAGCACCGGCUAACUCCGUGCCAGCAGCCGCGGUAAUACGGAGGGUGCGAGCGUUAAUCGGAAUUACUGGGCGUAAAGCGCACGCAGGCGGUUUGUUAAGCUAGAUGUGAAAGCCCCGGGCUCAACCUGAGAAUAGCAUUUAGAACUGGCAGGCUAGAGUCUUGGAGAGGGGAGUGAAACUCUAGGUGGAGCGGUGAAAUGCGUAGAUAUCUGGAGGAACAUCAGUGGCGAAGGCGGCUAACUGGUAUAACACUGACGCUGAGGUACGAAAGCGUGGGGAGCGAACGGGAUUAGAUACCCCGGUAGUCCACGCCCUAAACGAUGACAACUAGCCGUUUGUGGACUUGAUCCGUGAGUGGCGAAGCUAACGCGUUAAGUUCUCCGCCUGGGGAGUACGACCGCAAGGUUGAAACUCAAAGGAAUUGACGGGGGCCCGCACAAGCGGUGGAGCAUGUGGUUUAAUUCGAUGCAACGCGAAGAACCUUACCAUCCCUUGACAUCCUCAGAAUUUGUCGUAAAUGACUCGGUGCCUUCGGGAACUGAGUGACAGGUGCUGCACGGCUGUCGUCAGCUCGUGUCGUGAGAUGUUGGGUUAAGUCCCGCAACGAGCGCAACCCUUGUCCUUAGUUGCCAGCGCGUAAUGGCGGGGACUCUAGGGAGACUGCCGGUGAUAAACCGGAGGAAGGUGGGGACGACGUCAAGUCAUCAUGGCCCUUAUGGGUAGGGCUACACACGUGCUACAAUGGUCGGUACAGAGGGUCGCCAAGCCGCGAGGUGGAGCUAAUCCCAGAAAGCCGGUCGUAGUCCGGAUUGGAGUCUGCAAAACUCGACGCCAUGAAGUCGGAAUCGCUAGUAAUCGCGAAUCAGCAUGUCGCGGUGAAUACGUUCCCGGGCCUUGUACACACCGCCCGUCACACCAUGGGAGUGGAUUGCACCAGAAGUGGGUUGCCUAACCUUCGGGAGGGCGCUCACCACGGUGUGGUUCAUGACUGGGGUGAAGUCGUAACAAGGUAGCCGUAGGGGAACCUGCGGCUGGAUCACCUCCUU